AUCCAGCUGACGAGUCGCAAAUGGGACGAAAUGAGCGUCUGGGAU
rfam:Schistosoma rodhaini strain Burundi genome assembly, scaffold: SROB_scaffold0001539